UACAGAGCCUGCAAGCGUUAUUCGGAUUCACUGGGCGUAAAGGGUGCGCAGGCGGCCAAGUGGGUGAGGCGUGAAAGCCUGGAGCUUAACUCCAGAAUUGCACCUCAAACUACUUGGCUAGAGCAUUGGAGAGGGUAGCAGAAUUCAUGGUGUAGCAGUGAAAUGCGUAGAUAUCAUGAGGAAGACCAGAGGCGAAGGCGGCUACCUGGACAAUUGCUGACGCUCAGGCACGAAAGCGUGGGGAGCAAAAGGG
rnacentral:rRNA from 1 species